GAUGAACGCUAGCUACAGGCUUAACACAUGCAAGUCGAGGGGAAACGACAUCGAAAGCUUGCUUUUGAUGGGCGUCGACCGGCGCACGGGUGAGUAACGCGUAUCCAACCUGCCCAUCACUUGGGAAUAACCUUGCGAAAGUAAGACUAAUACCCAAUGAUAUCCCACGAAGGCAUCGGAAUGUGAUUAAAGAUUUAUCGGUGAUGGAUGGUGAUGCGUCUGAUUAGCUUGUUGGCGGGGUAACGGCCCACCAAGGCAACGCUCAGUAGGGGUUCUGAGAGGAAGGGCCCCCACAAUGGAAAUGCGACACGGUCCAAACUGCUACGCGAGGCAGGAGGGAGGAAUAUUGGUCACUGGGCGAGAGCCUGAACAAGCCACGUAGCGUGCAGGAAGCCGGCCCUAUGGGUUGUAAACUGCUUUUAUAAGGGAAUAAAGUGGGUCACGUGUGACUUUUUGCAUGUACCUUAUGAAUAAGGACCGGCUAAUUCCGUG
rnacentral:rRNA from 1 species